rnacentral:rRNA from 1 species
GACGAACGCUGGCGGCGUGCUUAACACAUGCAAGUCGAACGGAAAGGCCCUUCUGUGGUGGGGUGCUCGAGUGGCGAACGGGUGAGUAACACGUGAGUAACCUGCCCUUGACUUUGGGAUAACUUCAGGAAACUGGUGCUAAUACCGGAUAGGAGCUCCUGCUGCAUGGUGGGGGUUGGAAAGUUUCGGCGGUUGGGGAUGGACUCGCGGCUUAUCAGCUUGUUGGUGGGGUAGUGGCUUACCAAGGCUUUGACGGGUAGCCGGCCUGAGAGGGUGACCGGCCACACUGGGACUGAGAUACGGCCCAGACUCCUACGGGAGGCAGCAGUGGGGAAUAUUGCACAAUGGGCGGAAGCCUGAUGCAGCAACGCCGCGUGCGGGAUGACGGCCUUCGGGUUGUAAACCGCUUUCGCCUGUGACGAAGCGUGAGUGACGGUAAUGGGUAAAGAAGCACCGGCUAACUACGUG